GAAGAGUGAGGCUGGAUGAUGACCCCGUAUGGGGGAAGUAGAGUGAUCCUGUGCUGCCUAGAAAAGCCUCGACGCGAGGUCCUAGCCGCCCGUACCCUAAACCGACACAGGUGGUCGAGUAGAGAAUACUAAGGCGUUCGAGAGAAUCGUGGUUAAGGAACUCGGCAAAAUGCCCCCGUAACUUCGGGAGAAGGGGGGCCUGAUCCUUGAAGCACCUUGCGUGCUAGGGGAGAUGGCCGCAGAAACCAGGGAGAAGCGACUGUUUAUCAAAAACACAGGUCCGUGCGAAGACGUAAGUCGAUGUAUACGGACUGACGCCUGCCCGGUGCUGGAAGGUUAAGAGGACUGGUCAGCCCCACUUGUGGGGUGAAGCUGAGAAUUUAAGCCCCAGUAAACGGCGGUGGUAACUAUAACCAUCCUAAGGUAGCGAAAUUCCUUGUCGGGUAAGUUCCGACCUGCACGAGUGGCGUAACGACUUCUCCACUGUCUCAACCGCGAACUCGGUGAAAUUGCAUUACGAGUAAAGAUGCUCGUUACGCGCAGCAGGACGGAGAGACCCCGGGACCUUUACUAUAGCUUGGUAUUGGUGUUUGGUACGGCUUGUGUAGGAUAGGUGGGAGACUGUGAGACCGGUACGCCAGUAUCGGUGGAGUCAUUGUUGAAAUACCACUCUGGCCGUGCUGACCAUCUAACCUUGGUCCGUGAUCCGGAUCAGGGACAGUGCCUGGUGGUAGUUUAACUGGGGCGGUUGCCUCCCAAAAUGUAACGGAGGCGCUCAAAGGUUCCCUCAGCCUGGUUGGCAAUCAGGUGGCGAGUGCAAGUGUACAAGGGAGCUUGACUGUGAGACUGACAGGUCGAGCAGGUGCGAAAGCAGGAACUAGUGAUCCGGCGGUGGCUUGUGGAAGCGCCGUCGCUCAACGGAUAAAAGGUACCCCGGGGAUAACAGGCUGAUCCUGCCCAAGAGUUCAUAUCGACGGCAUGGUUUGGCACCUCGAUGUCGGCUCGUCGCAUCCUGGGGCUGGAGUAGGUCCCAAGGGUUGGGCUGUUCGCCCAUUAAAGCGGUACGCGAGCUGGGUUCAGAACGUCGUGAGACAGUUCGGUCCCUAUCCGCUGCGCGCGCAGGAAACUUGAGAAGGGCUGUCCCUAGUACGAGAGGACCGGGACGGACGAACCUCUGGUGUGCCAGUUGUUCCGCCAGGAGCAUGGCUGGUUGGCUACGUUCGGAAGGGAUAACCGCUGAAAGCAUCUAAGCGGGAAGCCUGCUUCAAGAUAAGGUUUCCAUGACAUUAGUCGUGAGGCCCCCUAUAGACCAUGGGGUUGAUAGGCCAGACGUGGAAGCACCGAAAGGUGUGGAGCUGACUGGUACUAAUGGCCAACCAC
rnacentral:rRNA from 1 species